GAAUGCUGAUGGAUGCUCA
rnacentral:piRNA from 1 species